AAGACUAUGAAAAUCUGUUCUUCGAUUUGUCUGCUCUGUAUAAGAAAGUAAGAAACAGGGUGCCUGCAGAGGCUGGGUUGUUUUUGAGACCGAAAAAACUUGGACGCAGGCCUUCCCCUACAUAUGGGCUGAAGCUGAGGAAGAAAAAAAGGAAAGAAAUUAAGAAAACAGGAGCGACGAAGAGGACGACUGCCCAAGUAUCCAGCAAUGAGAAGAUUGUUCCAUUAGACUCUGCAAUUGUUGUAAGACCAGCAGAGCCCGCAGAAGAUGGGUCUGAGAUGAGAAAGGACUUCACAGUUCAGGAUUCAG